rnacentral:rRNA from 1 species
GACGAACGCUUGCGGCGUGCUUAACACAUGCAAGUCGAACGGAAAGGCCCUGCUUUUGUGGGGUGCUCGAGUGGCGAACGGGUGAGUAACACGUGAGUAACCUGCCCUUGACUUUGGGAUAACUUCAGGAAACUGGGGCUAAUACCGGAUAGGAGCUCCUGCUGCAUGGUGGGGGUUGGAAAGUUUCGGCGGUUGGGGAUGGACUCGCGGCUUAUCAGCUUGUUGGUGGGGUAGUGGCUUACCAAGGCUUUGACGGGUAGCCGGCCUGAGAGGGUGACCGGCCACAUUGGGACUGAGAUACGGCCCAGACUCCUACGGGAGGCAGCAGUGGGGAAUAUUGCACAAUGGGCGGAAGCCUGAUGCAGCAACGCCGCGUGCGGGAUGACGGCCUUCGGGUUGUAAACCGCUUUCGCCUGUGACGAAGCGUGAGUGACGGUAAUGGGUAAAGAAGCACCGGCUAACUACGUGCCAGCAGCCGCGGUGAUACGUAGGGUGCGAGCGUUGUCCGGAUUUAUUGGGCGUAAAGGGCUCGUAGGUGGUUGAUCGCGUCGGAAGUGUAAUCUUGGGGCUUAACCCUGAGCGUGCUUUCGAUACGGGUUGACUUGAGGAGGGUAGGGGAGAAUGGAAUUCCUGGUGGAGCGGUGGAAUGCGCAGAUAUCAGGAGGAACACCAGUGGCGAAGGCGGUUCUCUGGGCCUUUCCUGACGCUGAGGAGCGAAAGCGUGGGGAGCGAACAGGCUUAGAUACCCUGGUAGUCCACGCUGUAAACGGUGGGUACUAGGUGUGGGGUCCAUUCCACGGGUUCCGUGCCGUAGCUAACGCUUUAAGUACCCCGCCUGGGGAGUACGGCCGCAGGGCUAAAACUCAAAGGAAUUGACGGGGCCCCGCACAAGCGGCGGAGCAUGCGGAUUAAUUCGAUGCAACGCGUAGAACCUUACCUGGGUUUGACAUGGAUCGGGAGUGCUCAGAGAUGGGUGUGCCUCUUUUGGGGUCGGUUCACAGGUGGUGCAUGGCUGUCGUCAGCUCGUGUCGUGAGAUGUUGGGUUAAGUCCCGCAACGAGCGCAACCCUUGUUCACUGUUGCCAGCACGUUAUGGUGGGGACUCAGUGGAGACCGCCGGGGUCAACUCGGAGGAAGGUGGGGAUGACGUCAAGUCAUCAUGCCCCUUAUGUCCAGGGCUUCACGCAUGCUACAAUGGCCGGUACAGAGAGUGGCGAGCCUGUGAGGCGGAGCGAAUCUCGGAAAGCCGGUCUCAGUUCGGAUUGGGGUCUGCAACUCGACCCCACGAAGUCGGAGUCUCUAGUAAUCGCAGAUCAGCAACGCUGCGGUGAAUACGUUCCCGGGCCU